UACGUAGGGUGCGAGCGUUAAUCGGAAUUACUGGGCGUAAAGUGUGCGCAGGCGGCCAUGCAAGUCGAGUGUGAAAGCCCCGGGCUUAACUUGGGAAUUGCGCUCGAAACUACGUGGCUGGAGUGUGGCAGAGGAAGGUGGAAUUCCACGUGUAGCGGUGAAAUGCGUAGAGAUGUGGAGGAACACCGAUGGCGAAGGCAGCCUCCUGGGCCAACACUGACGCUCAUGCACGAAAGCGUGGGGAGCAAACAGG
rnacentral:rRNA from 1 species